rnacentral:rRNA from 1 species
AUACAUGCAAGUCGAGCGGACAGAAGGGAGCUUGCUCCCGGAUGUUAGCGGCGGACGGGUGAGUAACACGUGGGUAACCUGCCUGUAAGACUGGGAUAACUCCGGGAAACCGGAGCUAAUACCGGAUAGUUCCUUGAACCGCAUGGUUCAAGGAUGAAAGACGGUUUCGGCUGUCACUUACAGAUGGACCCGCGGCGCAUUAGCUAGUUGGUGAGGUAACGGCUCACCAAGGCGACGAUGCGUAGCCGACCUGAGAGGGUGAUCGGCCACACUGGGACUGAGACACGGCCCAGACUCCUACGGGAGGCAGCAGUAGGGAAUCUUCCGCAAUGGACGAAAGUCUGACGGAGCAACGCCGCGUGAGUGAUGAAGGUUUUCGGAUCGUAAAGCUCUGUUGUUAGGGAAGAACAAGUGCAAGAGUAACUGCUUGCACCUUGACGGUACCUAACCAGAAAGCCACGGCUAACUACGUGCCAGCAGCCGCGGUAAUACGUAGGUGGCAAGCGUUGUCCGGAAUUAUUGGGCGUAAAGGGCUCGCAGGCGGUUUCUUAAGUCUGAUGUGAAAGCCCCCGGCUCAACCGGGGAGGGUCAUUGGAAACUGGGAAACUUGAGUGCAGAAGAGGAGAGUGGAAUUCCACGUGUAGCGGUGAAAUGCGUAGAGAUGUGGAGGAACACCAGUGGCGAAGGCGACUCUCUGGUCUGUAACUGACGCUGAGGAGCGAAAGCGUGGGGAGCGAACAGGAUUAGAUUUUUGUUUAUUCAAA